rnacentral:rRNA from 1 species
UACGAGAGGCCCAAACGUUAUUCGGAUUUACUGGGCUUAAAGAGUUCGUAGGCGGCGCAGAAAGUAGGGUGUGAAAGCCCUCGGCUCAACCGAGGAAUUGCGCCCUAAACUACUGUGCUUGAGGAACCUAGAGGUGAGCGGAACUGAUGGUGUAGCGGUGAAAUGCGUAGAUAUCUGGAGGAACACCGGUGGCGAAGGCGGCAUCCUGGACCGGUAUUGACGCUGAGGCGCGAAAGCCAGGGGAGCAAACGGG